GACGAACGCUGGCGGCGUGCUUAACACAUGCAAGUCGAACGGAAAGGCCCUGCUUUUGUGGGGUGCUCGAGUGGCGAACGGGUGAGUAACACGUGAGUAACCUGCCCUUGACUUUGGGAUAACUUCAGGAAACUGGGGCUAAUACCGGAUAGGAGCUCCUGCUGCAUGGUGGGGGUUGGAAAGUUUCGGCGGUUGGGGAUGGACUCGCGGCUGAUCGGCGGGUUGGUGGGGUAGUGGCUUACCAAGGCUUUGACGGGUAGCCGGCCUGCGAGGGUGACCGGCCACAUUGGGACUGAGAUACGGCCCAGACUCCUACGGGAGGCAGCAGUGGGGAAUAUUGCACAAUGGGCGGAAGCCUGAUGCAGCAACGCCGCGUGCGGGAUGACGGCCUUCGGGUUGUAAACCGCUUUCGCCUGUGACGAAGCGUGAGUGACGGUAAUGGGUAAAGAAGCACCGGCUAACUACGUG
rnacentral:rRNA from 1 species